GGGAGUGGAAACCUAAUACAAGAGUGUAGACAGCUACCAAUUUGUCCAUCCUUUUGUGUUGUUGUGCAGGUCCACCACCAAAAUAGGUUUCUUAGGGAAACUUCUACUGGUUUAUCAAACCAUAUCUGAGUGGAUUCUACCCUUCCUGGUGGCUGAAUACUUUGCAUGAAUUCUUGUGCAAGUUUGGAGUAUAAGCUGACAAGGCAAAAGUGCAAGAAUGUUGUUGGUUUCAAGUGAAAUGUUUCAUGCUUCAAAAAAUCUCAAGGAGGAGCAUCACCAAUGGUCAAAGGAGCCUUCAAGACACUGAACAGCACAAUUCUGAACUAGCAGCAAAGAUCCCCGAGAGCAGAAAAUAGAUUGGGGUUUUGAGGGGAUUUUUUUCGUGGGUAGAUGGAAACAUAGAAGAAUGAGUCUGCUAUGAUGAUGGUAUGGAAGCCAAGCUGAUAGUCUCAGACUUGCCAUAACAGAUACAGCGACCAAGACACAAGAGAAACGAGAUGUAUGCAGACACAGUCAUUACAAAGAUAAAGCUGUGGGUGUGGAGAGUUUCUCCAGCAAGCUUUGGAGGUCCUGCUUUGACUGUCCCUCUCUAAAAAGGAAAGCUAUGGCCUCAGCACACCUGGAAGAAGACACGAGUCGUGGUGACACUCCUAAUCCCACUGUUGUCCUGCCCCAAGAACAGCUGCCCUGGGAAGUUGCUUUCAAGGUGUUGCUACUGAUAAAAGCUUGCAGAUAUGCCACGGGGGGUGUCCUUUGCCUAAGGAGCGUCUGACACAUUCUGUGGGAACUCCCCCCUCCCCUGCAGCCCUCACCCCUCACACACAUGAGCACACACCUGGCUGAGCCCGGCAGUCCUGGCUUUUCCAUGUGUGAGAAGACAAGGACACAGUGGCACCCCGCCCAGCCCAAAAGCCCCACGGCAUCCUCACCUGGCCAAGUUCACUCACCUCCCCGGAUCUCGGUGCCUCAGCUCACAAAGUCUGUGUCCCCUCACCCGGGUGGGCUCACACAUCUGCCCCUCGCUGUCUCUUGGAGGCUCAGCUGGUGGGGAAGAGCAGCUCAACCCCCGGCAUUUCUUCACCGCUGUCUGAGCGAGCAGCAGAAGGCUCUGUCUGCUGCUGAGCAGGUCUUGGGCUGCCUCCUGCUGAAGAAGUGACUGGACUGUGGAGGAAGACAACCACAUCAUCUCCUGACAGGAUGGCACAGGCCACAGGCAGCAGCAUUGCUGGAGUUGAAGGUGGUGAAGUUUUGGCACGGACAGGAUGGAGCUGGUGUGGCUGUACCUGAUGCUGAUCCACGUGCAGCACGUCGCUGCCAUGACCUGGCUGUCCCUGGCCAAGCAGACUUCCCUGCAGACAGUCCUGUGGGACCCCAGGGGCUGUGAUGGCCUGAUGGGGCUGGAAGAAGAGCAGAUCCCUAUUUGCCAGCAGCAGGUGGAAGCCAUGGAGGCGAGGGACAGAGCUGGUUGUCCUCGAGUGCCAGCACCAGUUUCACUCUUGCCACUGGAACUGCUCCACCCUGCAGGGGCUGCAGGUCUUCGCCAAGGCCACCAUCCAAGGCACACGGAGCCUGCUGUCACCCACGCCAUCCCGGCGCCGGCUCCGCUCUUGCUGCGAGCCGUGCCUGCAGCUGGGGAGGGCUGCACAAGUUUCCAGCGGUCAGGCUGCUCUGGUAACAUGUCCUACAGGAUCGCCAUUCUCUCAGGCCUCUCAGGCCUUCGUGGACAGCCCCGAGAGGAGCCGCAGUGUCUCCUCCAGCCGAGAGCCCAUGAAUCUGCACAACAGUGAGCCUGGGAGGAAGGGCAGGAGCAAGGGCUGGGAGCCAGCCUGGCUGCAGGGGCUUCUCCCUGGCUCGGCAGAGCUCAGUCCACCCCGCACACCCCAAAAGGCACUUCAGGGCAGCCAGGUGCUCCCAGAGGAUUCUGCAUCCUGCUGCCUUUCCUAGCCCAGCACUGCAUCGAUUACCCUGA
rnacentral:lncRNA from 1 species